GCAAACUUUCCGUCCGGGGCAUUGUGGGAGGCGGCCAUGGUCUGAGGCGGGCACCUCACCUGUCAGCUCCUCUGGGCGGCCACCAUGAUACAUUUCAUGUUGCUCUUCAGUCGACAAGGGAAAUUACGGCUACAGAAGUGGUACACGACUCUCCCUGACAAAGAAAGGAAAAAGAUCACCCGGGAAAUUGUACAGAUCAUUCUGUCACGUGGGCAGAGGACCAGCAGUUUUAUUGACUGGAAAGAGCUAAAGCUUGUUUAUAAAAGGUAUGCCAGCUUAUAUUUUUGCUGUGCAGUAGAAAAUCAGGACAAUGAGCUCUUGACGCUAGAGAUUGUGCAUCGCUAUGUGGAGUUGCUGGACAAAUACUUUGGAAAUGUUGACUUUGCGGAAAUCUGGCUGCUGGCUCCUGCCUGUCUUGGAUUCCUGGUCUGCACUCACCUUAAACUCCGAGGCUCCUCAGCUCCUGCUUCUCUAAGCUUCUGGCUUCCUGCUUCUUCUGACUUGUGGUCUGUGAGCUCGAUAUUAUCUUUAAUUUUGAAAAGGCUUACUUUAUCCUGGAUGAGUUCAUAAUGGGUGGAGAAGUUCAGGAAACAUCUAAGAAGUCUGCCGUCAAAGCCAUAGAAGAUUCUGACAUGUUACAGGAGACGAUGGAAGAGUAUAUGAACAAGCCUGCAUUUUAACUACUUGACGCCUCUGGGUAGUACAUGGUGGGACCAUGUGCAGAAACAAUACCUGGCAUCUAGUUCUCUGACAGAGCUGCCAGCACCAUGCCAAAAAGAACUUAAAAGGGAUUCUUUGUGAACUAGCAGAAAUUAAAGUUGUUUAACCUAAAAUAUUUAUCAUUACUA